rnacentral:rRNA from 1 species
GGCUCAGAACGAACGCUGGCGGCGUGCCUAACACAUGCAAGUCGAACGAGAAGUACGUAGCAAUACGUAUUGUAAAGUGGCGCACGGGUGAGUAACACGUGGGUAAUCUGCCCUUGAGUUUGGGAUAACCCCGCGAAAGCGGGGCUAAUACCGAAUAAGACCACGGGGACCAAAGUUCCUGGGGUAAAAGAUGGCCUCUAUUUAUAAGCUAUCACUUGAGGAUGAGCCCGCGGCCCAUUAGCUAGUUGGCAGGGUAACGGCCUACCAAGGCGAUGAUGGGUAGCUGGUCUGAGAGGACGAUCAGCCACACUGGAACUGAGACACGGUCCAGACUCCUACGGGAGGCAGCAGUGGGGAAUAUUGCGCAAUGGGCGAAAGCCUGACGCAGCAACGCCGCGUGGGGGAUGAAGGUUCUCGGAUUGUAAACCCCUUUCGACCGGAACGAAUCCCCUCCUGGUAAAUAAUCAGGAGGAUCGACGGUACCGGGAGAAGAAGCCACGGCUAACUCUGUGCCAGCAGCCGCGGUAAGACAGAGGUGGCGAGCGUUGUUCGGAUUUAUUGGGCGUAAAGCGUACGCAGGCGGUUUGGUAAGUCAGAGGUGAAAGCCCACAGCUUAACUGUGGCACUGCCUUUGAUACUGCCUUUCUAGAGUGCAUGAGGGGGAAGCGGAAUUCCGAGUGUAGAGGUGAAAUUCGUAGAUAUUCGGAGGAACACCGGUGGCGAAGGCGGCUUCCUGGCAUGUAACUGACGCUCAUGUACGAAAGCGUGGGGAGCAAACAGGAUUAGAUACCCUGGUAGUCCACGCCCUAAACGAUGGGCACUAGGUGUGGGAGGUAUCGACCCCUUCCGUGCCGCAGCUAACGCAUUAAGUGCCCCGCCUGGGG